UUGUCAUUAGUUGCUACGGUAACGGGCACUCUAGUGAGACUGCCGGUGACAAACCGGAGGAAGGUGGGGAUGACGUCAAGUCCUCAUGGCCCUUAUGGGUAGGGCUUCACACGUCAUACAAUGGCGCAUACAGAGGGCUGCCAACCCGCGAGGGGGAGCCAAUCCCAGAAAGUGCGUCGUAGUCCGGAUUGCAGUCUGCAACUCGACUGCAUGAAGUCGGAAUCGCUAGUAAUCGCGGAUCAGCAUGUCGCGGUGAAUACGUUCCCGGGUCUU
rnacentral:rRNA from 1 species